rnacentral:ncRNA from 2 species
UAGGUUCUUCAGGGCGGGGCGCGAUUCCCCACCGGCGGUAAAGCCCGCAAGCUCUCACGAGCAGAUCCGGUGUGAUUCCGGGGCCGACGGUACAGUCCGGAUGAAAGAAGAACUGA